GUUAGUAUGCUGUGCUUUAUUAAUGCAACCGUUUAGACAGAAAUGUGAAAGGUUACCGGUAUUCCCACUUGAUCACGCUCGAAAUUUUAGCUUCUUAAAUACUGAUUUCUGUGUGGCAUCUCCCUUGCAUAUUUGGGGACAGCUUUAGAUCUGCAACAUGAUACAUACAAUCAAUGUUCCGUCUGGUUUACGCUCCGCCCUGAUUGAUCCGUAUAAAUUGAAGAGCAUGAUCCGGCCGGCGCGCACCGGCAACACCGACCCUCCUCACAGGGGAUAACAAGCCAUAUCGUCCCACGUCAAUCCCAGAAGCAGCAACUGCGUUGUCAACAGGGCAGGCGGGGUGAGAGGAAGGACUGCCUGUUUGGUCUCCGGACACUAGCUGAAGAACAGACUACAUUCAGCGUAAGAAUACAAGAACAUACCCAUUGUAAAAUGAAGGCGAACAAACAAGUUUCUUCUGCCGGGGUGAAGCAGAACGGAGACAUGCAGAGGAGGCCGAGUUAUCCUGGCGACCAGCGGGUUAAACAUGCCAACAUUGCCACCAAGAUUUGGGUUAAAGUGGCGAUGGCUAUUGCCUAUUUCCUAAGCAUAUCCGUAUCAGCGUUCAUCCUUGUAAUCUACUAUGUGUUUUUCUGGACACCGGAUGCGCCUUACAAUGUCACGGGCACAGCAGCACCGAACCGCACAGUGUGCAACUCAAGGUUAUAACUGAGUGUGUUCAUCAGGCGCGAGGUUAUGAGUUCCCAUCCUUUAUCCCGCACGCACAGUUUCGAGAUGCGCUCGAGGACUCCUGGACAUAGGGCAUGCACGCGCUGCAUCAGUGCACCUACUUAUACCGCAGCAAAGGGGAAGAUUACAGCUUCACACACUCAAGCCAGCGGUACGUUUUAUUCGGGAUGACCUGAGGACCGAGGAAUGCAUUGGAAUCUCUACAGUUGCUGUUAUAUUCAGGUUUUAUCUGUAGUAAUUGUAAAAGCUAGUAGCCACGUAACUUGUUUUUGGCAGUUGUUCGUUUGAAUGCGGGGCAAUAUGCCAAGUAGCAGUAGCCUGUUCUUGUUAGAAAAGCACGAUCUGCAAUACUUCUGAUCAGAAACGGAAUGAAACCCAUCGAAUGAAAAUCAUCUGACUGAGAUCUACAUGGAGAGACCGCUGUGUUCUAUCAGAAAAAGCAAAAAUACCGAACCUCCGGUCAGGUCGUUGGUGCCUCAUUCUAUGAUGUCAUCCAAUGUACCGUUUAAUGCUUGGAGGCAAACUGCAAAGUAGCAUAUUUCACUUCUGAGAGUCCCCAUUUUCAAACCCUCUAAAAAUCCAUCAGUGUUUAUCUCAGCGCCUGUAGACUUCUACCCGACAGUUGAUAAUAUUUACAGUUUUUAUAUACCGUGUAGACAAAUAUACGUAGAUUUCCUCCUGGAGAUAGUCUGAAAAACUAUGCAUAUACAUGAGUUAUCAUUUUCUGCACACAAUGCUAUUUUUCUGACGUGAACAGCAGCACUUUAUUUUAGGAGCCAACAUAUUCUGAUCUGUUUCUUAGUGUUUUAUGAUGAAUGGGAUCUAAAACGUUUCAUCAGUGGACCUUUUCGACGUUUGGACGUUUUAACUGUAUUAUCGUCGUCUGUAAGCCCUGUUUUACAGCCAAAAUGCGUCUGUCCAUAUGGACUGUAUGUCCUGCCGCGUGUGUGUGUGUGAUCUUCUGGGUUAACUGAACCUCAUGUCCAUCGUUUUCCUGGUUUCUUGUGCUGUUGUGCCAUUUCCUGUCCAGGUCUUAAACACUCUGCGGUCACUUGUUAAGACAACGUACAUGAAUACUGUCACCGUGUAUCUAUAAGUCACUGCUGAGACUGAAAUACACCAAUAGGUGUUGUAAGGAUUCAAAUGUAUGGGCCAUCUCAUCCCAUGUAUAUGUCUCUUUGUUUCUCCCUCUUUCCAACUGUCUUUCUCUCUCUUCUCUCCCACUCUUUCUCUCUCUAACUCCCUCCUUCUCCCUCUUUUUGUUUAUCCUACUCUUUCUCCAACUUCUCUCUCACUUUCUCUCUCCCUAUCUCUUUCUUCUACUCUCUAUCUCUUAACUCCCCAUCUCUCUAUUUCCUCUCAUUCUCUCUCUAACUCCCUCUGCCUCUCUCUCUCUCUCUCUCUCUCUCUCUCUCUCUCUCUCUCUCUCUCUCUCUCUCUCUCUCUCUCUCUCUCUCUCUCUCUCUCUCUCUCUCCUCUCUCCCUCUCUCUCCCUCAGUCUCUGCAUUAUGUGUGAAGCAAACGAGAGCUGCUUCUCUUCUAUCAAUAAUUAAAUUGCACUGAAAGUU